rnacentral:rRNA from 1 species
UACAGAGGUACCAAGCGUUAGGCGGAAUCACUGGGCUUAAAGCGUGUGUAGGCGGAUGCCUAAGUACCUUGUGAAAUCCCACGGCUCACCCGUGGAACUGCUUGGUAUACUGGGUGUCUUGAGCCACUUAGGGGCUACCGGAACAAAUGGUGGAGCGGUGAAAUGCGUAGAUAUCAUUUGGAACGCCAACGGUGAAAACAGGUAGCUGGGAGUGUGCUGACGCUGAGACACGAAAGCCAGGGGAGCAAACGGG